rnacentral:rRNA from 1 species
UACGUAGGGGGCAAGCGUUGUCCGGAAUCAUUGGGCGUAAAGAGCGUGUAGGCGGCCAGAUAAGUCCGCUGUGAAAUCUCGAGGCUCAACUUCGAGCUGUCGGUGGAAACUGUCUGGCUAGAGUCCGGAAGAGGAGAAUGGAAUUCCUGGUGUAGCGGUGAAAUGCGCAGAUAUCAGGAAGAACACCAAUGGCGAAGGCAGUUCUCUGGGACGGCACUGACGCUGAGACGCGAAAGCGUGGGGAGCAAACAGG